CAAGUAGAGGCAGAGACAUGUGAGAAUAUUAGUGCAGAGUUUGGCUUGAUCUCUUGGGCUUUUGACUUUCAUCAUGAAAAGAACAUGUGCCAGAUAGCACUUAUCCCAGGAUGGGGAGAUGCUCAGAGCAGACCAGGAGCCAAGUAUGCAGCAGUCAUCCCUGCUAAACCGCAGUUCAUGAAUGAGAAAGAAAUGUUUCUUGCGCCUGAAAACUCAAGCAUCUGUCUGGAACCAUCCGUGUUAUCAGGAAUGACAGAGCAAGAGAGAAACCACACUCUGCUGGCCAUGGAGCCACCACACAGCCUCCCUGAAUUGCUUACUGCAGACUUCAUUCAUAUUCUUUCCCCUUAUAGGUUAUUACAGAACAUUGAGUAAGUACCC
ensembl:lncRNA